rnacentral:misc_RNA from 1 species
AAGUCGUAACAAGGUUUCCGUAGGUGAACCUGCGGAAGGAUCAUUAACACGUAUCCAACGUUAAACCCCCCGUGAACCUUCAUUGUGCUCCCCCAUUCCGUUAGGACGCGGCAAUCCCUGGUAAAUCAUCGCCGAACAGUUUUGAUUCAGGGACCUCUGCAUGGAGUGGGCAGCAGCGCGAGGCAAGUGGCCUGGCAUUCGAAAGAAUGGCGCAGUAACGAUCGCUAGAGGCCGACACGGCCGGCGACCGCACCUUUGCAUGAAAACGGGCCUGCGCUUAAUUGUGCGGCCACCAAACUCGAACAACUGUUAACAAUGGAUAUCUUGGUUCUC